rnacentral:lncRNA from 1 species
ACCCCAAAAUGGGGGAAAUUAACCGAAACCUGAGGGAAAUUCCCCCAAUAUUGAAAGAAUUAACACCAAAAUAUACAGAAUUAACCCCAAAAGUGACAGAAUUGAACCCAAAACUGAGGGAAAUGACCCCAAAAUAGGCAGAAUUAACCCUGAAGUGCCAGAACUGACUCAAAUCUGAAAAAUUUUAUCCCAAAAUGUGGGGAUUUGACCCCAAAAAGUGAUAGAUUUGCUCCAAAAUGGGGAGUUUUGACCCCAAAAUUGGGGGAUUUUGCCUCAAAAUGUGAUAAAUUUGCCCACAAAUGUGGGAUUUUAACCUAAAAUGUGGUGAAUUUACCCUCAAAUGAGGAAACUUUACCCCAAAAUGUGGGGAUUUGACCCCAAAAUCCACAAAAUUUGCCCCAAAAUCAGGGGAUUUUGCCUCAAAAUGUGAUAAAUUUGCCUCAAAUUUGGGGGAAUUUACCCUAAAAUCCUCAUAAUUUUUCCCUAAAUUUGGGAGAUUUUGCCUCAAAAUGAAAUAUUUUUGCCCCAAAGUAUCAGCUUUUUACCCCAAAACUGCAGGAUUUUGCCCCAAAAUGUGAUGUUUCCCCCCAAAUGUCAGCACUUUAUCCCAAAAUCGGAAGAUUUCACCCCAAAAUGUGAGUUACCCCAAAAUGUCAGCAUUUUACCCCAAAAUGAGAUACAUUUGCCCCAAAAUGUCGGCAUUUUACCCCAAAAUCAGAGGAUUUUACCCCAAAAUUGGAGGAUUUUGCUCCAAAAUGAGAUACAUUUGCCCCAAAAUGUCAGCAUUUUACCCCAAAAUGUGAUACAUUUGCCCCCAAAUAUCAGCACUUUACACCAAAACUGGAGGAUUCUGCCCCAAAAUUUCAGCAUUUUAACCCAAAAUCCAAAGACUUUGCCCCAAAAUCUCAGCAUUUUACCCCAAAAUCAGAAGAUUUUGCCCCAAAAGGAGCUGAUUUUGGACCCCCAAACCCCACAGAACCCCACAGACUCCUUUCAUCCCAUAGAACCCAAUGGACCCCUCCCCCCCA